rnacentral:lncRNA from 1 species
CAACAAUUGCAUCCAUCUCUGUCUUUGAAGUAGUGCUUUCAUUUUGCUUGCAGUAUCUCUAUCUAAACACAAAGAAGAGAUCACAAUUUGGUUCAGCAUAGGGAGUUGUUGGGGUAAGAGAGGUGCAGUGGCAUGCAUAUUAUCUUUUGCAUCAAGUUAUAUAUGUAUGAUCAAUUGAAGUUACAUGUUUCUCUAACCAAAAUACCUCUAUGCAAAUCUAAAACCAAUGUCAAACUCAGAGAAUUUCCUUCCACCAGCUAAAUGCUUGAUCCUUGAGCUUUCCAUUACUCUUGUAAACAUUGCUCUGAGAUCACUAAAGCACACAUUAGCAAACAAAGUUCCAAAUUCCUCAUCAUCACUUUCAAAUGAAACCAAAUAGAAAACAAUUUGUCCCUUAUUCUCAACUUGGUUUGAUUUUAAAUACUAGCUCCGGUGAUAUCGUCUUCCUACACUUAUAACACGUUCUUACUACACGUAUACAAUUUUGCUAGUGCCUCUCUCCACAACCUUGUUUACCUGUUUUUUAAAAACAACAAACUUUUAGAAUAAGAGGAAUCACUCUGAUGUAUAUAUGGAUUUAGGUCACAUUCAUAUCGUGUGACCUCAAUCACAUAUGUUGACUAAUAAAGUAGUCCAAGACGAUUUGCAGACAUCUCCCCUCUUCAUGAUACAAUCCGUAAAACAUCUAAAGCAAAAAUAGGAUAAUGGUGAUGAAAUCAAGACUUGUUACACAAGUAAUUUGAGCUAAGUUACUCGUAAACCCUAGAAAACAGAGCCCAAAUUUGAG